AUCUAUGUAAAAUUAUAAUUAUUAACUAGUAAUUUGAUUUUAGUUUAAAUUUUUGAUUAUGGGUAGUAUUUAACAUGUGGAAUAGUUAAAUUUGUAUAAAUUAAAAGUAUCAGUAAUUAAUAUUAUUUGUAAUAAUUAGUAAUAUUUAUAAAGAUAUAUUAUUUUAAGGCCUGGAAAAAUUUGUGCCAGCAUCCGCGGUUACACCAAUAGUCCAAAUUAAAAUUUUUAGUGCGUAUAUAAUUUAAUGAUUAAAUUACUAUAAUUUAUUUUAGGUAAAAUUAAUAAUAUUACUUCUUUUUUAAAUUAUGCGAAAUUUAACUACUUAAACUAGGAUUAGAUACCCUAUUAUAUUAAAUAAUUUAAAUCAUUUACUGAGAGAUUAAUAGUUAUGAUCUUGAAAUUUAAAGAAUUUGGCGGUAAAUUAAUUUGCCUAGAGGAAUUUGUUAUUUAAUAGAUACUACACUCUAUAUCUUACCUUAGUUUUAAUAGUUUGUAUACCGCCGUUUAGGAUAUUUUUAUUGAAAUAAUUUUCUUUUAAUUAUAGUUAAAAAAUCAGGUCAAAGUGCAGCUUUGCUAAGGAUUUAAAUGAAUUACAUUUUUUAGUAAAAAUAUUAUGAAUAAAUAUCUGCAAUGAUUUUUUGAAGGAGGAUUUAGAAGUAAAUUCAUUUAAUUAGUAAGUAAAUUUGAAUAAAUAAUACUGAUUUAUGUACAUAUUGCCCGUCGCUCUCGUUGAUAAAAUGAGAUAAGUCGUAACAUAGUAGGGUUACUGGAAAGUGUUCCUUGAUUGAU
rnacentral:ncRNA from 1 species